rnacentral:lncRNA from 1 species
GCCAAGCUACUUAACCUUCCUGAGCCUCAGUUUUAACACCCGUAAAAUGGGAGCAAUAGCACUACUGGCCUGGUAGGGGUGUAGAGGGAUCUGCAAGCACGAGUGCAUUUAGUACGUGCUCCUCGACUGCCCCUUUUUCUUAGGUUUCCCUGAAGUUGGAGAGGAGCUGCGCUUUCCUAGGUUCAAGCCCUGAAGGAGGAGACUGAUAAAGUCCAUGGCGUGCUGGGGCCCUGCAGGGCGGGGGGCUGGCUCAGGGCAGGGGGGCAGAGAGGCGCCUGCCUCUUGGGCCCUCCUAGUCAUUGGAGAGUUUUUCCCUCGAAAGUUGGAAGCAGGAGAGGCCCUCCCACUCUAGGCCUGCCAGGCUUCCUGGCAGCAGAGCUUGUGGUCAGCAGGGCCUGGAGGCCUGAUCCUGCCAGAUGACCAGAUGUACUAGUAGCUGGGUGACUCUCCAGGAGAGUGGUCAAACACUGUGCACCAGGGUGACCCCAGAUCCGGCUUGCCUGGGCCGAUCCUGGUUGAUUUGGUCCUGGGUCAAUCCCAGUUGGAAUGGGCCAGGUCAGGUUUAUGCCCAUUGUCUGGUCAUGACUACUAGCUCUUAAGUCUGCUUGUCUGUAAUUGCUGGGCACACAUAUCCCGCGAUCCCGGAAUUCCUCUCCUAGAAUGGACAUAUAAACUGUGGUACAUUCACACCAUGUAACACGGUCUGCAGCCACACGCAGUAACGUGGAUGAAUCUCAGACGGAACGUUGAGCAAAGGAAACUGACCCAGGAGAGUACGUAAGAGCUGCGGCUGACUCAGGAGCAAGAGGUAAACUGAUCAGCAAAUACGCUGGCUGCAGAGACCCGGUGAGACGUGAAUCCCCAGGGAAUGCUAAGGGAGGCCCCCCCCCACAACAUCUGCAUUUCCAUUUCCGAGCCGCCACUGGAAGAUCCAUGGGAAGAUCGGGAAGAUCGUCAGGCUCCUCUCCUCCACUUAGCCCAAGGCAGGCGACGAACUAACACACGUCAGGAAGCGUCUCAACAGCCCGGGUGAGAACGAGCUUAACCUUCAGCCGUCAUGAAAAAUAAAGUUGACCAGAACUCCCCAUUUUCUGGACAUUCCUGUUGGGUUCAUUGAAGUUCACUGGGUUGUCCUGGUGGAAACUGUGUAACCUGAUUCUGACGCUAAGAAAAUGCUUCCCGUGGGGAAGACUGGUUCUGAUAUGACCAAUUCCCCUGGGACCCCUCAGGCCUUGUCCAACCUGGUUGAUGUCCCAAGCCUAAUAUGGCCCCCUCUCCCUGCCUGCUCCCCAUGACCCCUCAACCAGCCAUCCCAGACCCAAAUCCCAUCCAGGCUUGCUCAAGCCCGUCUCCCCCAGGACACCUCCCUGCCUACCCGGGGCUCCCAUCCUUUCCUCCUAUAGCACCUACUAAGUCUGUCUAAGCGCCUGGCCCCCUAGUCUGUUUCAAGAGGACAGGCAACUUUGCUUUGUUCAGAUUGUACCGGAAAAACGUGGACCAGUUCUUGGUACAUAGUAGGCCCUCAAUAAACACUGGAUGAAUGAA